GCUCGCGGCCUAUCAGCUUGUUGGUGAGGUAAUGGCUCACCAAGGCUUUGACGGGUAGCCGGCCUGAGAGGGUGACCGGUCACACUGGGACUGAGACACGGCCCAGACUCCUACGGGAGGCAGCAGUGGGGAAUAUUGGACAAUGGGCGGAAGCCUGAUCCAGCAACGCCGCGUGAGGGAUGACGGCCUUCGGGUUGUAAACCUCUUUCAGUACCGACGAAGCGAAAGUGACGGUAGGUACAGAAGAAGGACCGGCCAACUACGUGCCAGCAGCCGCGGUAAUACGUAGGGUCCGAGCGUUGUCCGGAAUUAUUGGGCGUAAAGGGCUCGUAGGCGGUUUGUCGCGUCGGGAGUGAAAACACCGGGCUUAACUCGGUGCUUGCUUCCGAUACGGGCAGACUAGAGGUAUGCAGGGGAGAAUGGAAUUCCUGGUGUAGCGGUGAAAUGCGCAGAUAUCAGGAGGAACACCGGUGGCGAAGGCGGUUCUCUGGGCAUUACCUGACGCUGAGGAGCGAAAGUGUGGGGAGCGAACAGGAUUAGAUACCCUGGUAGUCCACACCGUAAACGUUGGGCGCUAGGUGUGGGGCCUAUUCCAUGGGUUCCGUGCCGUAGCUAACGCAUUAAGCGCCG
rnacentral:rRNA from 1 species